rnacentral:rRNA from 1 species
GUCGAGAAUAGUCUACAAUGGUCGAAAGACUGAUAGUGCGACGCCGCGUGAACGAAGAAGCCCUUCGGGGUGUAAAGUUCUUUUAUAUGUGAGCAAUGCCUUUUAUGUGAAUAGCAUGAGAGGAGCGAUAUUAGCAUAUGAAUAAGCAACGGCUAACUCCGUGCCAGCAGCCGCGGUAACACGGGGGUUGCAAGCGUUGUCCGGAAUUACUAGGCGUAAAGGGCAGGUAGGCGGAUAGAUAAGUUUUUUGUCAAAGGCGACGGCUCACCCGUCGUAUGGCAGGAGAUACUGUUUAUCUGGAAUGCGGUUGGGGAAGACAGAAUUCCUGGUGUAGCGGUGGAAUGCGCAGAGAUCAGGAGGAAUACCGAAGGCGAAGGCAGUCUUCUAAGCCGUUAUUGACGCUAAACUGCGAAGGUGUGGGUAUCAAACAGGAUUAGAUACCCCUGUAGUCC